GCCCUGCCGUAAACUUAGAUACUUCACCACAACAAGCAUCCGCCCGGGUACUACGAGCGCCAGCUUAAAACCCAAAGGACUUGGCGGUGCUUCAGACCCCCCUAGAGGAGCCUGUUCUAGAACCGAUAACCCCCGUUCAACCUCACUACUUCUUGCUUUUCCCGCCUAUAUACCACCGUCGCCAGCUUACCCUGUGAAGGAACCAAAGUAAGCAGGAUGGGCAAUGCCCAAAACGUCAGGUCGAGGUGUAGCGCACGAAGUAGGAAGAAAUGGGCUACAUUAUCUGAAACAGAUUAACUAACGAAAAGUCGCCUGAAACCGGCGGCCUGAAGGUGGAUUUAGCAGUAAGGAGAGAAUAGAGUGCUCUCUUGAAGCCGGCUCUGAAGCGCGCACACACCGCCCGUCACUCUCCCCAACAACACACACAUUUUGUAAUUAACAUAACAAAAGCUACAAGGGGAGGCAAGUCGUAACAUGGUAAGUGUACCGGAAGGUGCACUUGGAAUAAC
rnacentral:rRNA from 1 species